CUGGAGUCCGGGUGCGUGCCUUCUGUGAUCUGACAGUUCACAGUAAAAAGGGCACCUGGAUUCCAGAUUCAUAGCAGGUUUUUCUGGCGCCUACAUGAAAUAAGAUAGAAGAGCAGCCCUGGCUGCAUCUGGCCCCGGCCUCACGAGCUUUAGGCCCUGGCCUCACGAGCUUUAGGUCCUGGCCUCACGAGCUUUAGGCCCUGGCCUCACGAGCUUUAGGUCCUGGCCUCACGAGCUUUAGGUCCUGCCCAUGGCUACGGGCGGGGCAGGACAGACCAGGGCAAUACAGAGGGGCCAAUUACCAGA